AGCUGUGUAUCUCAGCAGAGAGCUACACUAAUCCCAUUCAGCUCUGACUCUGCUCUCAGUCACUUCACAUCUCUAUCAACAUGCUGCUCUCUAUCCUUUCUCUCCUAGCACUGCUUUUAGGAGACACAUCAGCACAGACAGUUGUGCCACUGGAAGGAAAAAUGCAUGUUUCAGAGGGUGAUAAUGUUACUCUCUCCUGCAACUACAGUACCAGUGAUACUAAUUAUGCUCUUCAGUGGUAUCGUCAGUUUCCCAGAUCCAGGCCAGAGUUUCUCCUGUACAUUUAUCCUCAGGGAGCUAAGACUGAUCCUCUUCCUCCUCGUAUGUCUGCUGAAGUGGAUAAAGACAAAAAGCGUGUGGAUCUGUUGAUCUACUCUGCUGCAGUAUCAGACUCUGCACUCUACUACUGUUUUCACAGAUUGUAG